AUUGAACGCUGGCGGCAGGCCUAACACAUGCAAGUCGAACGAGUGGCGGACGGGUGAGUAAUGUCUGGGAAACUGACUGAUGGAGGGGGAUAACUACUGGAAAAGGUAGCUAAUACAGCAUACCAUCAGAUGGGCCCAGAUGGGCUUAGCUUGUUGGUGGGGUAAAGGCUAACAAAGGCGACGAUCCCUAGAUGGUCUGAGAGGAUGACCAGCCUCACUGGAACUGAGACACGGUCCAUACUCCUACGGUAGGCAGCAGUGGGGAAUAUUGCACAAUGGGCGCAAGCCUGAUGCAGCCAUGCCGCGUGUAUGAAGAAGGCCUUCGGGUUGUAAAGUACUUUCAGCGGGGAGGCGUUACCCGCAGAAGAAGCACCGGCUAACUCCGUGCCAGCAGCCGCGGUAAUUC
rnacentral:rRNA from 1 species